GGGUUGUGAGGUUAAGCGACUAAGCGUACACGGUGGAUGCCCUGGCAGUCAGAGGCGAUGAAGGACGUGCUAAUCUGCGAUAAGCGUCGGUAAGGUGAUAUGAACCGUUAUAACCGGCGAUUUCCGAAUGGGGAAACCCAGUGUGAUUCGUCACACUAUCAUUAACUGAAUCCAUAGGUUAAUGAGGCGAACCGGGGGAACUGAAACAUCUAAGUACCCCGAGGAAAAGAAAUCAACCGAGAUUCCCCCAGUAGCGGCGAGCGAACGGGGAGCAGCCCAGAGCCUGAAUCAGUGUGUGUGUUAGUGGAAGCGUCUGGAAAGGCGUGCGAUACAGGGUGACAGCCCCGUACACAAAAAUGCACAUAUUGUGAGCUCGAUGAGUAGGGCGGGACACGUGGUAUCCUGUCUGAAUAUGGGGGGACCAUCCUCCAAGGCUAAAUACUCCUGACUGACCGAUAGUGAACCAGUACCGUGAGGGAAAGGCGAAAAGAACCCCGGCGAGGGGAGUGAAAAAGAACCUGAAACCGUGUACGUACAAGCAGUGGGAGCACGCUUAGGCGUGUGACUGCGUACCUUUUGUAUAAUGGGUCAGCGACUUAUAUUCUGUAGCAAGGUUAACCGAAUAGGGGAGCCGAAGGGAAACCGAGUCUUAACUGGGCGUUAAGUUGCAGGGUAUAGACCCGAAACCCGGUGAUCUAGCCAUGGGCAGGUUGAAGGUUGGGUAACACUAACUGGAGGACCGAACCGACUAAUGUUGAAAAAUUAGCGGAUGACUUGUGGCUGGGGGUGAAAGGCCAAUCAAACCGGGAGAUAGCUGGUUCUCCCCGAAAGCUAUUUAGGUAGCGCCUCGUGAAUUCAUCUCCGGGGGUAGAGCACUGUUUCGGCAAGGGGGUCAUCCCGACUUACCAACCCGAUGCAAACUGCGAAUACCGGAGAAUGUUAUCACGGGAGACACACGGCGGGUGCUAACGUCCGUCGUGAAGAGGGAAACAACCCAGACCGCCAGCUAAGGUCCCAAAGUCAUGGUUAAGUGGGAAACGAUGUGGGAAGGCCCAGACAGCCAGGAUGUUGGCUUAGAAGCAGCCAUCAUUUAAAGAAAGCGUAAUAGCUCACUGGUCGAGUCGGCCUGCGCGGAAGAUGUAACGGGGCUAAACCAUGCACCGAAGCUGCGGCAGCGACGCUUAUGCGUUGUUGGGUAGGGGAGCGUUCUGUAAGCCUGCGAAGGUGUGCUGUGAGGCAUGCUGGAGGUAUCAGAAGUGCGAAUGCUGACAUAAGUAACGAUAAAGCGGGUGAAAAGCCCGCUCGCCGGAAGACCAAGGGUUCCUGUCCAACGUUAAUCGGGGCAGGGUGAGUCGACCCCUAAGGCGAGGCCGAAAGGCGUAGUCGAUGGGAAACAGGUUAAUAUUCCUGUACUUGGUGUUACUGCGAAGGGGGGACGGAGAAGGCUAUGUUGGCCGGGCGACGGUUGUCCCGGUUUAAGCGUGUAGGCUGGUUUUCCAGGCAAAUCCGGAAAACUAAGGCUGAGGCGUGAUGACGAGGCACUACGGUGCUGAAGCAACAAAUGCCCUGCUUCCAGGAAAAGCCUCUAAGCAUCAGGUAACAUCAAAUCGUACCCCAAACCGACACAGGUGGUCAGGUAGAGAAUACCAAGGCGCUUGAGAGAACUCGGGUGAAGGAACUAGGCAAAAUGGUGCCGUAACUUCGGGAGAAGGCACGCUGAUAUGUAGGUGAAGUCCCUCGCGGAUGGAGCUGAAAUCAGUCGAAGAUACCAGCUGGCUGCAACUGUUUAUUAAAAACACAGCACUGUGCAAACACGAAAGUGGACGUAUACGGUGUGACGCCUGCCCGGUGCCGGAAGGUUAAUUGAUGGGGUUAGCGCAAGCGAAGCUCUUGAUCGAAGCCCCGGUAAACGGCGGCCGUAACUAUAACGGUCCUAAGGUAGCGAAAUUCCUUGUCGGGUAAGUUCCGACCUGCACGAAUGGCGUAAUGAUGGCCAGGCUGUCUCCACCCGAGACUCAGUGAAAUUGAACUCGCUGUGAAGAUGCAGUGUACCCGCGGCAAGACGGAAAGACCCCGUGAACCUUUACUAUAGCUUGACACUGAACAUUGAGCCUUGAUGUGUAGGAUAGGUGGGAGGCUUUGAAGUGUGGACGCCAGUCUGCAUGGAGCCGACCUUGAAAUACCACCCUUUAAUGUUUGAUGUUCUAACGUUGACCCGUAAUCCGGGUUGCGGACAGUGUCUGGUGGGUAGUUUGACUGGGGCGGUCUCCUCCUAAAGAGUAACGGAGGAGCACGAAGGUUGGCUAAUCCUGGUCGGACAUCAGGAGGUUAGUGCAAUGGCAUAAGCCAGCUUGACUGCGAGCGUGACGGCGCGAGCAGGUGCGAAAGCAGGUCAUAGUGAUCCGGUGGUUCUGAAUGGAAGGGCCAUCGCUCAACGGAUAAAAGGUACUCCGGGGAUAACAGGCUGAUACCGCCCAAGAGUUCAUAUCGACGGCGGUGUUUGGCACCUCGAUGUCGGCUCAUCACAUCCUGGGGCUGAAGUAGGUCCCAAGGGUAUGGCUGUUCGCCAUUUAAAGUGGUACGCGAGCUGGGUUUAGAACGUCGUGAGACAGUUCGGUCCCUAUCUGCCGUGGGCGCUGGAGAACUGAGGGGGGCUGCUCCUAGUACGAGAGGACCGGAGUGGACGCAUCACUGGUGUUCGGGUUGUCAUGCCAAUGGCACUGCCCGGUAGCUAAAUGCGGAAGAGAUAAGUGCUGAAAGCAUCUAAGCACGAAACUUGCCCCGAGAUGAGUUCUCCCUGACUCCUUGAGAGUCCUGAAGGAACGUUGAAGACGACGACGUUGAUAGGCCGGGUGUGUAAGCGCAGCGAUGCGUUGAGCUAACCGGUACUAAUGAACCGUGAGGCUUAACCUUACAACGCCGAAGGUGUUU
rnacentral:rRNA from 1 species